rnacentral:rRNA from 1 species
GACGAACGCUGGCGGCGUGCCUAAUACAUGCAAGUCGAGCGGACAGAAGGGAGCUUGCUCCCGGAUGUUAGCGGCGGACGGGUGAGUAACACGUGGGUAACCUGCCUGUAAGACUGGGAUAACUCCGGGAAACCGGAGCUAAUACCGGAUAGUUCCUUGAACCGCAUGGUUCAAGGAUGAAAGACGGUUUCGGCUGUCACUUACAGAUGGACCCGCGGCGCAUUAGCUAGUUGGUGGGGUAAUGGCUCACCAAGGCGACGAUGCGUAGCCGACCUGAGAGGGUGAUCGGCCACACUGGGACUGAGACACGGCCCAGACUCCUACGGGAGGCAGCAGUAGGGAAUCUUCCGCAAUGGACGAAAGUCUGACGGAGCAACGCCGCGUGAGUGAUGAAGGUUUUCGGAUCGUAAAGCUCUGUUGUUAGGGAAGAACAAGUGCGAGAGUAACUGCUCGCACCUUGACGGUACCUAACCAGAAAGCCACGGCUAACUACGUGCCAGCAGCCGCGGUAAUACGUAGGUGGCAAGCGUUGUCCGGAAUUAUUGGGCGUAAAGGGCUCGCAGGCGGUUUCUUAAGUCUGAUGUGAAAGCCCCCGGCUCAACCGGGGAGGGUCAUUGGAAACUGGGAAACUUGAGUGCAGAAGAGGAGAGUGGAAUUCCACGUGUAGCGGUGAAAUGCGUAGAGAUGUGGAGGAACACCAGUGGCGAAGGCGACUCUCUGGUCUGUAACUGACGCUGAGGAGCGAAAGCGUGGGGAGCGAACAGGAUUAGAUACCCUGGUAGUCCACGCCGUAAACGAUGAGUGCUAAGUGUUAGGGGGUUUCCGCCCCUUAGUGCUGCAGCUAACGCAUUAAGCACUCCGCCUGGGGAGUACGGUCGCAAGACUGAAACUCAAAGGAAUUGACGGGGGCCCGCACAAGCGGUGGAGCAUGUGGUAUAAUUCGAAGCAACGCGAAGAACCUUACCAGGUCUUGACAUCCUCUGACAACCCUAGAGAUAGGGCUUUCCCUUCGGGGACAGAGUGACAGGUGGUGCAUGGUUGUCGUCAGCUCGUGUCGUGAGAUGUUGGGUUAAGUCCCGCAACGAGCGCAACCCUUGAUCUUAGUUGCCAGCAUUCAGUUGGGCACUCUAAGGUGACUGCCGGUGACAAACCGGAGGAAGGUGGGGAUGACGUCAAAUCAUCAUGCCCCUUAUGACCUGGGCUACACACGUGCUACAAUGGACAGAACAAAGGGCUGCAAUACCGCAAGGUUUAGCCAAUCCCAUAAAUCUGUUCUCAGUUCGGAUCGCAGUCUGCAACUCGACUGCGUGAAGCUGGAAUCGCUAGUAAUCGCGGAUCAGCAUGCCGCGGUGAAUACGUUCCCGGGCCUUAUACACACCGCCCGUCACACCACGAGAGUUUGCAACACCCGAAGUCGGUGAGGUAACCUUUAUGGAGCCAGCCGCCGAAGGUGGGGCAGAUGAUUGGGGUG